CAGGGGGUAUUUUAUGUAAAAUGUUAGUUUUGGGGAUUAAUGAAAUGGUAUUUGCCUUUCCUCUGA
rnacentral:tRNA from 1 species